CAAAGGAGCCGUGUGGUGUGGACCAAGCCCUAGAUUCUCACAGCAGACAAUGCUGUCAAGGAAAAGCCCAGCCUUGUACCAAGUUAUCAAUAUCAGCCGCGACCGGGUGAGGGGAGCCAUCCGUCCUCACAGAGACAUUAGCACGUCUUGAAUCGCCCCUGGAGCCUCUAUUUGAAAGGUGCAUCCAUCUGCAUGCAGCACCGAUGACACUGGCCUUGAUGUGAACAGCAGAGAACUUCAUUUUGCUCGUUCCUGUUAAGACGUGGGCGUCACUUUGUCGCUGGGGUGGCAGCCUCCUGUUCAAAGCAACCUGCACAAGUCAGUCAAAGGGGCAGGCAGGUUCUUUACCACUAGCACCACCUGGCAAGCCCUCUCACAAAAUGAUAUACAAGUAUCCUGUGAGUAUAAACUCUCCUCUGAAAUGGAAGAAUGAGGCCAUUGGAUUAGCUGAUUUCCUUAGAUCCUGAUUUUUGAUUCAUCACUGUAGGAUUCUGACAAUAAGUGCUUGGAGGUCAGAGUUUUAUCGUCUAAACAGGUUUUAUUCUCUUCUUCUUAUUGCAUUUACAUCAGAAAGCAAUGCAGAG
ensembl:lncRNA